rnacentral:rRNA from 1 species
GUGAGGAAUAUUGGUCAAUGGGCGAGAGCCUGAACCAGCCAAGUAGCGUGAAGGAUGAAGGCUCUAUGGGUCGUAAACUUCUUUUAUAUGGGAAUAAAGUUUUCCACGUGUGGAAUUUUGUAUGUACCAUAUGAAUAAGGAUCGGCUAACUCCGUGCCAGCAGCCGCGGUAAUACGGAGGAUCCGAGCGUUAUCCGGAUUUAUUGGGUUUAAAGGGAGCGUAGGUGGAUUGUUAAGUCAGUUGUGAAAGUUUGCGGCUCAACCGUAAAAUUGCAGUUGAAACUGGCAGUCUUGAGUACAGUAGAGGUGGGCGGAAUUCGUGGUGUAGCGGUGAAAUGCUUAGAUAUCACGAAGAACUCCGAUUGCGAAGGCAGCUCACUAGACUGUUACUGACACUGAUGCUCGAAAGUGUGGGUAUCAAACAGGAUUAGAUACCCUUGUAGUCC